UACGAAGGGUGCAAACGUUGCUCGGAAUCAUUGGGCGUAAAGCGCACGUAGGCGGCUUGCCAAGUCGGACGUGAAAUCCCUCAGCUCAACUGAGGACGUGCAUCCGAAACUGGCGAGCUUGAGUACUGAAGAGGAUCGCGGAAUUCCCGGUGUAGAGGUGAAAUUCGUAGAUAUUGGGAAGAACACCGGUGGCGAAGGCGGCUCACUGGCUCAUUACUGACGCUCAGGCGCGAUAGCGUGGGGAUCAAACAGG
rnacentral:rRNA from 1 species